GAUGAACGCUGGCGGCGUGCUUAACACAUGCAAGUCGAACGGAAAGGCCCAAGCUUGCUUGGGUACUCGAGUGGCGAACGGGUGAGUAACACGUGGGUGAUCUGCCCUGCACUUCGGGAUAAGCCUGGGAAACUAGGUCUAAUACCGGAUAGGACCACAUUUUGGAUGGUGUGGUGGAAAGUUUUUCGGUGUGGGAUGAGCUCGCGGCCUAUCAGCUUGUUGGUGGGGUAAUGGCCUACCAAGGCGUCGACGGGUAGCCGGCCUGAGAGGGUGUACGGCCACAUUGGGACUGAGAUACGGCCCAGACUCCGACGGGAGGCAGCAGUGGGGAAUAUUGCACAAUGGGCGCAAGCCUGAUGCAGCGACGCCGCGUGGGGGAUGACGGCCUUCGGGUUGUAACCUCCUUUCGCUAGGGACGAAGCGUUAUGUGACGGUACCUGGAGAAGAAGCACCGGCUAACUACGUG
rnacentral:rRNA from 1 species